rnacentral:rRNA from 1 species
CGUAAAGCGCAUGCAGGCGGCCUGUUAAGUCAGAUGUGAAAGCCCGGGGCUUAACCUCGGAAUUGCAUUUGAAACUGGCAGGCUAGAGUCUUGUAGAGGGGGGUAGGAAUUUCAGGUGUAGCGGUGAAAUGCGUAGAGAUCUGAAGGAAUACCAGUGGCGAAGGCGGCCCCCUGGACAAAGACUGACGCUCAGAUGCGAAAGCGUGGGGAGCAAACAGGAUUAGAUACCCCUGGUAG